rnacentral:rRNA from 1 species
UGGGGAAUAUUGCGCAAUGGGGGAAACCCUGACGCAGCAAUGCCGCGUGCGGGAUGACGGCCCUCGGGUUGUAAACCGCUUUCAGCAGGGAAGAUAAUGACGGUACCUGCACAAGAAGCCCCGGCUAACUACGUGCCAGCAGCCGCGGUAACACGUAGGGGGCGAGCGUUAUCCGGAUUCAUUGGGCGUAAAGCGCGCGCAGGCGGGCGCCUAAGCGGGACCUCUAAUCCUGGGGCUCAACCUCAGGCCGGGUCCCGAACUGGGCGCCUCGGGUGCGGUAGGGGCAGGCGGAAUUCCCGGUGUAGCGGUGGAAUGCGCAGAUAUCGGGAAGAACACCGACGGCGAAGGCAGCCUGCUGGGCCGACACCGACGCUGAGGCGCGAAAGCUAGGGGAGCGAACAGG